rnacentral:rRNA from 1 species
AACGAACGCUGGCGGCAGGCCUAACACAUGCAAGUCGAACGCCCGUAGCAAUACGGGAGUGGCAGACGGGUGAGUAACGCGUGGGAACGUGCCCUUCGGUUCGGAAUAACUCAGGGAAACUUGAGCUAAUACCGGAUACGUCCGUAAGGAGAAAGAUUUAUCGCCGAAGGAUCGGCCCGCGUCGGAUUAGCUAGUUGGUGAGGUAAUGGCUCACCAAGGCGACGAUCCGUAGCUGGCUGAGAGGAUGAUCAGCCACACUGGGACUGAGACACGGCCCAGACUCCUACGGGAGGCAGCAGUGGGGAAUAUUGGACAAUGGGCGAAAGCCUGAUCCAGCCAUGCCGCGUGAGUGAAGAAGGCCUUAGGGUUGUAAAGCUCUUUCAGC